GCAGAUCAGACAAAGAAAAUGGAAGAAUCGAUCCGGAUACGAAGAGAAAUGGGGCCUUUGGCUCUCGUUAAUGCGGCGAGGAUGCUCAGAAUGAAGUUAUCCAGAGAAGAGAAAAAGGGUUGUAUUCAGUUGUCACAACUGGUGAUGCAUAAGUUGGCCAGCGAGAUUCUGCAGAUGCUGCAAGAAUGGGGCGCAAUAUGGGGCUCCGUUCGUUGAGGAGGAAUGGGAAGAACAAGAGAUUGCUAAUGGAGUGGUCCUGAUGCCCGAUGCUGAGAAUGAUGAUGAUGCUGCUGACGCUCAUGAUCAGGAAUACUUGGAAUUCAAUGAUCUUCUUCAGGUAACAUCUCGGUUGUCUUUUUAAGCAUGGUUGAAAUAAAAAGGAAAAAAAUUCUUGAAAUGUUACCAUGUGCAUGAAUGCUGCUAAAACAAAAAAGA